UAGUUGCACGGGAUGACGUUUUUCUAUUUCCGCUUUCUUGAGUGUACGCGUGUAAGCUUCCGGUUUCGCGAUAUGAAUAGAGGAAGAUAUGAAUCAUGGCGCUGUUAUAAACACAAUGUCUGCAAGAUCUAUCAAAGUAACAAUCACCGAUGUCCAUCGGCUAGUACACCAGCAUGCUCAGCUCCGAUGAGCAAAAGGAAAAAGUUGUUCAAGGUGUAUAUAUCAAGUUACAUCGACAACUAUGAAGAUUGUCUUUGACGACUCCUCACCAGUUGACAUUUCAGUGGCAGACUGUUCUGUGUGGCUGAAAGAGCACUCCGCAACCACUAUGUUGUGUUUGACCCAGCUGAGAGCCCACCCUUCGGACUGCUGGAAAUUAAAUGUCCCAAUUUAAUGACUGUAGCUACUUGAAAAUACAGAGUGCAAUGCUGAAAUUAAAGCAGACUCACAGAAAGAGCCAGGAUGCCAGCUACUUCUUAUAGGGAUGUAGUGGUGUGAUUUUUGGUGUUUUUACAGAGGAGGGUAUUCCCAUACAAUGCAUCUACAUGGCUAAAACUAUAAGGGAGAUCAUUUUUAUUUUUACAUGAAUUAAUGUUUGAAGAGGGUUCGCAUCACUUAUGGGAUUUAAUUUGAAUAAUAUGCACUACAUUAUUUCCUCUUUAAAAUCCACUGUACAUAUAACAUUGAUUCUUUAUAUUGUAAUAAUGAUACAGUUAAGUAUUAAAAUAAAUAUAUUACUUUUAAUGUG